UGUGCGACGGCGCCUGCGCCGGACACCAUGCUGUCAGCCCAGCGGCGAGGUCUGGUCCUCCUACGGCUGCGGCGCCUCAGGAGGUGGCUAGGGCUCGGAACUUCUUCGUUCCUGCGGGGCCUUGGGCGAGAGCCCUUGGAGACAGCCCGGUCACUGUGUUGCGAAUCCUCGCCUAGAGACGCACGAGACAGAGAGGGACGGCGCGAAGCGUCACGGAGCAAAGCUCCCAGCACAGAGUCGCCUCCAUCUCUCCCUCUGCGCGUCCGAGGCACUGGGAUCGGAUGUCUUUCGUCACUGGAAGUCCUCAGACUGCCGACGCCAGAAGAGGAGUCACCCUCUCGAGAGCGCGAGGACUCGAGCGGAGACCAGGGCCAGCCCGGUCCCGCCCACCAGGGAUCCGGGGGUCCCUUGCCUCCCUCCUUGGCCCAGUCUGUGGCCGAGGUAGAAGAGCUUCCUGGCUCCUCUUCCUGGCCAGCUUCCAGGGAGGGGCCCUUUCGCGUUGGGGAGCUGAUCUUAGCUGAGACUGGGAAGAGAGAAACACAAUUUAAAAAGUUAUUUAGGUUGAGUAACGCCGGACACUUAAAUAGUAGCUGGGGUACUGUCCCGUUCAGCGAGAUCGUGGGAAAGUUUCCGGGCCAGAUACUGAGGAGUUCUUCUGGUAAGCACCUCAUGCUGAGGAGGCCGGCAUUGGAAGACUAUGUAUUACUGAUGAAAAGAGGGCCUGCCAUAACGUAUCCUAAGGAUAUGAGUAUGAUACUGUUGAUGAUGGAUAUCCACCCAGGUGAUACUGUUUUGGAAGCUGGCUCAGGCUCUGGUGGAAUGAGCUUAUUUUUAUCCAAAGCAGUUGGAUCACAAGGACGAGUCAUAAGUUUUGAAAUACGAAAAGACCACCAUGAAUUGGCUAAGAAGAAUUACAAAAAGUGGUGUGAUUCAUGGAAGAUGAGUCAUGUAGAAGAGUGGCCAGACAAUGUGAAUUUUAUUCAUAAGGAUAUUUUAGGAGCAACUGAAGACAUAAAAACUUUAACAUUUGAUGCGCAACAGUGGCCUUCUCACACUCACCAAGUGUCCUACAGUCUCAGAGCAUUUGUACUUGCUGUCUGUCCAUCUGGAGCACACUUCCACCCUAAAUUUCCACAGGGUAGCUUUGGACAUGUUGAAUCCUCAAGUUGCUUUGCCUGUUUUAUAUCCAAAUCUUAAACAGGGUGGUGUGUGUGCUGUAUAUCUAGCGAAUAUCACACAGGUUAUUGAACUUUUGGAUGGAAUUCGCAUCUGUGAACUUGCUCUCUCAUGUGAAAAGAUAAGUGAAGUCAUUGUCAGAGAUUGGUUGGUUUGCCUUGCAAAACAGAAAAAUGGAACUUUAGCUCAAAAAAUGGAACCUAAAAUCAACACAGAUUUACAAUUACAUUCUCAAAAGAAAAUUAGAAUUGAAGGUGAGAUGUUUCAAGAGGAUGACCAUGAAGAGUCACAUUCUGAUUUUCCAUAUGGAUCAUUUCCCUAUAUUGCUAGACCUAUACACUGGCAAACUGGUCAUACAGCUUUUCUCGUCAAGCUGAGGAAGUUUAAACCACCACAUAACUGAGUACCUCAGAUGACAGCAAUUGAUUUGAAGAUGGAAAAGUAUCAAAAUAGAACUUUAUAUUGCGAAUCACUACUUUCAUAGGUUGGAAUUGUUAGCUAUUACUAUGAAUCGUAUAACUUUUACAUACAAUUUUGAAAAAUAACAAAAGCUAAAGGAAGAUGUGUAACAUUUCAGAACUGUUUAAAUGUCCCAUUUGACACUUGUCUUGUAGUUAGUUUGACAUUUUGUAGUUAAUGAUUCCAGGCUGGUUUGGUUG